rnacentral:rRNA from 1 species
ACUAAGCGUACACGGUGGAUGCCCUGGCAGUCAGAGGCGAUGAAGGACGUGCUAAUCUGCGAUAAGCGUCGGUAAGGUGAUAUGAACCGUUAUAACCGGCGAUUUCCGAAUGGGGAAACCCAGUGUGUUUCGACACACUAUCAUUAACUGAAUCCAUAGGUUAAUGAGGCGAACCGGGGGAACUGAAACAUCUAAGUACCCCCGAGGAAAAGAAAUCAACCGAGAUUCCCCCAGUAGCGGCGAGCGAACGGGGAGCAGCCCAGAGCCUGAAUCAGUGUGUGUGUUAGUGGAAGCGUCUGGAAAGGCGCGCGAUACAGGGUGACAGCCCCGUACACAAAAAUGCACAUGCUGUGAGCUCGAUGAGUAGGGCGGGACACGUGGUAUCCUGUCUGAAUAUGGGGGGACCAUCCUCCAAGGCUAAAUACUCCUGACUGACCGAUAGUGAACCAGUACCGUGAGGGAAAGGUGAAAAGCACCCCGGAAGGGGAGUGAAAUAGAACCUGAAACCGUGUGCUUACAAGUAGUCAGAGCCCGUUAAUGGGUGAUGGCGUGCCUUUUGUAGAAUGAACCGGCGAGUUACGAUUUGAUGCAAGGUUAAGCAGUAAAUGUGGAGCCGUAGCGAAAGCGAGUCUGAAUAGGGCGUUUAGUAUUUGGUCGUAGACCCGAAACCAGGUGAUCUACCCUUGGUCAGGUUGAAGUUCAGGUAACACUGAAUGGAGGACCGAACCGACUUACGUUGAAAAGUGAGCGGAUGAACUGAGGGUAGCGGAGAAAUUCCAAUCGAACCUGGAGAUAGCUGGUUCUCUCCGAAAUAGCUUUAGGGCUAGCCUCAAGUGAUGAUUAUUGGAGGUAGAGCACUGUUUGGACGAGGGGCCCCUCUCGGGUUACCGAAUUCAGACAAACUCCGAAUGCCAAUUAAUUUAACUUGGGAGUCAGAACAUGGGUGAUAAGGUCCGUGUUCGAAAGGGAAACAGCCCAGACCACCAGCUAAGGUCCCAAAAAUAUAUGUUAAGUGGAAAAGGAUGUGGCGUUGCCCAGACAACUAGGAUGUUGGCUUAGAAGCAGCCAUCAUUUAAAGAGUGCGUAAUAGCUCACUAGUCGAGUGACACUGCGCCGAAAAUGUACCGGGGCUAAACAUAUUACCGAAGCUGUGGAUUGUCCUUUGGACAAUGGUAGGAGAGCGUUCUAAGGGCGUUGAAGCAUGAUCGUAAGGACAUGUGGAGCGCUUAGAAGUGAGAAUGCCGGUGUGAGUAGCGAAAGACGGGUGAGAAUCCCGUCCACCGAUUGACUAAGGUUUCCAGAGGAAGGCUCGUCCGCUCUGGGUUAGUCGGGUCCUAAGCUGAGGCCGACAGGCGUAGGCGAUGGAUAACAGGUUGAUAUUCCUGUACCACCUAUAAUCGUUUUAAUCGAUGGGGGGACGCAGUAGGAUAGGCGAAGCGUGCGAUUGGAUUGCACGUCUAAGCAGUAAGGCUGAGUAUUAGGCAAAUCCGGUACUCGUUAAGGCUGAGCUGUGAUGGGGAGAAGACAUUGUGUCUUCGAGUCGUUGAUUUCACACUGCCGAGAAAAGCCUCUAGAUAGAAAAUAGGUGCCCGUACCGCAAACCGACACAGGUAGUCAAGAUGAGAAUUCUAAGGUGAGCGAGCGAACUCUCGUUAAGGAACUCGGCAAAAUGACCCCGUAACUUCGGGAGAAGGGGGUGCCUCUUUAGGGUUAACGCCCAGAAGAGCCGCAGUGAAUAGGCCCAAGCGACUGUUUAUCAAAAACACAGGUCUCUGCUAAACC